rnacentral:rRNA from 1 species
AGCCUGAUGCAGCCAUGCCGCGUGUGUGAAGAAGGCCUUCGGGUUGUAAAGCACUUUCAGUCGUGAGGAAGGUGGUGUAGUUAAUAGCUGUAUCAUUUGACGUUAGCGACAGAAGAAGCACCGGCUAACUCCGUGCCAGCAGCCGCGGUAAUACGGAGGGUGCGAGCGUUAAUCGGAAUUACUGGGCGUAAAGCGCAUGCAGGUGGUUUGUUAAGUCAGAUGUGAAAGCCCGGGGCUCAACCUCGGAAUAGCAUUUGAAACUGGCAGACUAGAGUACUGUAGAGGGGGGUAGAAUUUCAGGUGUAGCGGUGAAAUGCGUAGAGAUCUGAAGGAAUACCGGUGGCGAAGGCGGCCCCCUGGACAGAUACUGACACUCAGAUGCGAAAGCGUGGGGAGCAAACAGGAUUAGAUACCCUGGUAGUCCACGCCGUAAACGAUGUCUACUUGUUAGGUUGUGGCCUUGAGCCGUGGCUUUCGGAGCUAACGCGUUAAGUAGACCGCCUGGG